rnacentral:rRNA from 1 species
UGGGGAAUAUUGCACAAUGGGCGCAAGCCUGAUGCAGCAACGCCGCGUGAACGAUGAAGGUCUUCGGAUCGUAAAGUUCUGUUGCAGGGGAAGAUAAUGACGGUAUCCUGUGAGGAAGCUCCGGCUAACUACGUGCCAGCAGCCGCGGUAAUACGUAGGGGGCUAGCGUUAUUCGGAUUUACUGGGCGUAAAGGGUGCGUAGGUGGUCUUUAAAGUCGGUGGUUAAAGGCUACGGCUCAACCGUAGUUAGCCUCCGAAACUGGAAGACUUGAGUGCAGGAGAGGAAAGUGGAAUUCCCAGUGUAGCGGUGAAAUGCGUAGAUAUUGGGAGGAACACCAGUAGCGAAGGCGGCUUUCUGGACUACAACUGACACUGAGGCACGAAAGCGUGGGUAGCAAACAGG